rnacentral:rRNA from 1 species
UACAGAGGUGGCAAGCGUUGUUCGGAAUUACUGGGCGUAAAGGGCGCGUAGGCGGCCGCCUAAGUCAGACGUGAAAUCCCUCGGCUCAACCGGGGAACUGCGUCUGAUACUGGGUGGCUUGAAUUCGGGAGAGGGAUGCGGAAUUCCAGGUGUAGCGGUGAAAUGCGUAGAUAUCAUUUGGAACGCCAAUGGUGAAAACAGGUAGCUGGGAGUGUGCUGACGCUGAGACACGAAAGCCAGGGGAGCAAACGGG